rnacentral:rRNA from 1 species
CCCUUAGAUGUUCUGGGCCGCACGCGCGCUACACUGACGAAUGCAACGAGCUUAUAACCUUGGCCGAAAGGUCUGGGUAAUCUCCAAAUUUCGUCGUGAUGGGGAUAGAUUAUUGCAAUUAUUAAUCUUCAACGAGGAAUGCCUAGUAAGCGCAAGUCAUCAGCUUGCGUUGAUUACGUCCCUGCCCUUUGUACACACCGCCCGUCGCUCCUACCGAUUGAAUGGUCCGGUGAAGCGUUCGGACCGUGGCCUUUGGACGGUUCGCCGUCUGUUGGCUGCGGGAAGUUCGUUAAACCUUAUCAUUUANAGGAAGGAGAAGUCGUAACA